UGCUGCCUGGUGCAUAGAGUCUGGAUCUCGUAAGGGACUGUUAGCCCCAGAAGAGAAGAAAACCCAGCACUCCCCUAAUCUUCGGAAUUACCAUAACAUUAUGAGGCUAUUAAACAAAGCUGCCUAACCUUACACUCAUCCAUCAACCUUGAAUUAUUAAGAGAAUAACUGCAGAGCAUUUACAAGUGGAUGGGAUGGAGUCCUGGCUGCUUUUCAAGAACACAGAGUCAGUGCUACAAAAACUUUGCAAGAUGGUAAUUUUUCUUGUGCUGGCUGUUCCUUACUCUGGGCCUGAAAGAAAGAAUGGUUUCUUGAAUUUAAGUGGCAGUGGGAGCAACGCUGAGAACAUAAUGACAGGAUGAUCCAUGGUGUUUUCUGAGGAUGCAGUACCCACCUUGCUAUUUGUCAUUAGCUGGUGCAGUCCAUCCUCAAACAGCUGGUUCCUACAGGUCACCAUCAGAGCUAUAAACUCGCAGUGACUUAUUGUCACUAUCAAAGCUUCUUGCUUUGUGGUCUAGGAUGCAAAAAUGGGAGAAUUCCAGAACUGCAG